rnacentral:ncRNA from 12 species
CAUGCCGGAGGUGGGAAAUUGUGUUGCACCCACGCACCUUGCGUACAUGACGUAACGGUUAAAAGAGAUGGAGCAGAUUGCAACGGCUCCCCGGCAUA